rnacentral:rRNA from 1 species
CAGUAGCCACGGUAAUACAGAGGGUGCGAGCGUUAAUCGGAUUUACUGGGCGUAAAGCGUGCGUAGGCGGCUUCUUAAGUCGGAUGUGAAAUCCCUGAGCUUAACUUAGGAAUUGCAUUCGAUACUGGGAAGCUAGAGUAUGGGAGAGGAUGGUAGAAUUCCAGGUGUAGCAGUGAAAUGCGUAGAUAUGUGGAGGAACACCGAUGGCGAAGGCAGCCCCCUGGGAUAACACUGACGCUCAUGCACGAAAGCGUGGGGAGCAAACAGGAUUAGAUACCCGAGUAGUCCCUGUCUCUUAUAC